rnacentral:lncRNA from 1 species
UUUUUAUUUUUUAUUUUUUCCUUUCUUAUUUUCUCUUCCCAACAAUCCUACAAAUAUCAUAAUUGUCUUUCAUAAAAAUCAAAGGAAAAAAUGAGUAGAAUCAUAAACCUCUGUCAAGGUUGAAUCAGGGGAGAGCAAGUAGAAUCUCCAACAUCCAUGUCUUUCUUCUCCACAGCAUUAGUUUUUGCCCACAAAAGUAGGUAAAGACCCACAAUCACCAGCAUUGCUCCCACAAUACUACAAACCACAACCAUCAAAACUACUUUAAUUAAUUAAUUAAUUAAAGAGCUACAAGCAUAUGAUAUAGCAAUUACUAUUUUCACAAACAAUUUGUAUUUUUUGGUAGAUUUAUACUACAAAUCUUUUACAUUUAUUAAUAUUACAUUUGAUUUCCCGAGACCGGAUAUAAAGAAUAUGGCAUUAUACAAACAAGUAAAACUAAGAUACAAAACAAUAAGUAAUAAGAUGUAAAUGUACUUUUGACGUCAUUUAAUUAAUCCUAUUUUUUCGAUAGGUACCUUUUCAUUAGUGUGACCGAACCCUAAAUUAAAAUAUAAAUUAGAGAGAUAAAUACGUACCUGCCCAAAUGGGCUGAACUACCCAGUACAAAGGUGUUCAAAAGGAAAGAGAAGAGCACAAGAAGUGGGUUAAAUGAGGUUGAAAACACAGGACCCUUGAUGCCAAUAGACCAUGUCAUCACAUAGUAUGAUAACCCUGUCACUGCAAUUCCCUGACAAAUUCCUUCAUAUUAGUGUUUGUUUCAACUUCCAACAAAAAUUAAUAAAGGAAUUUAGGUAGGGUUCUUACCCCAAGUAAUAAGGUGGUGAGGACUAGGCCUCCAUCCCACUGAAGUUCCCAAGCUGAGGAUGAGACCACAAAGGCUGCCACUAUGGCUGUUUGGAUGGUGCCAAAGAAGCUCAUCAUUGCUGUUAGUGAUAUUUCUGCUGGGUAUAUUUGAAUCACAUGCCUCUGCAAUAUCAUAUUAUAUGCCAAUUUUAUUGCUUAUGAUCUUCAAAAUACCAAAUAACUAUUGGUAUCAUAUUUCCAAAAAGAGAAAAAAGAAGAUAAAAAGAGAUUUAGAUGUUACCACCAAAAUAUUCCAAAAACUAGUUGCAAUAACACCAACAAUGGUCAAAAUCCAACCAAGGACACUAUCACCUGUUGCGUCAAAGCUUAUAGAUAGCAUAGCUUUCACUACAACAGGCCCCUUCCACAAUACCAAAGCCAAUGCUCCACCAAGUGAAAUACCCAAACCCCAGAUCUUGGCCUGCCCAUUGAUGCUCCUAAAUCUUAGCUUUUCUUGAUGGAAAAUCAGUGCCAACACAAAUGUUAUGGUUGGGACCAUGUUCAGUGCAAUGCUUUCAUAUGUUGAAGAAAUGUAUUGUAGGGCCAUUGUCAAUAGCAUUUGACAUAGGGUAACCCUGUAUAUAUAUGUAUCAACAUGAAAGAAAAAAAAAAAGAAACAUUAAUUUAAAGAAAAUUAUUGAUGUAGUAAUUAAUUGUAGUGGGAAUUUACUCAACUGCAAUAGUCCCAUAAAGAAUGCAUAGCAUAGUAUCUUGAAAGUGAUAGGAGGCCUCUUGUUCCUGUAAUCAUUCACACAGCAAUACAAUAAUUGACUGAAACUCAAAAAAUGCUUGAACACAAUGGGGAACUCUCCCAUAAAACUUGGGAAAAAACAUAGGCAUUGAACCCAACAAAGAAAUAUUUCAAACAGUUGAAUGGUGGGUGUCCCUGGAAGAGCAAUGAUCCAAAAAACAUAUGGUAACAGUGAAGGGAGUUGAUGACUUACUUUUCAAAGAAGAAAGCUAGAAGUGACAAGACAAUGGUGGCAAGGACAUGCUCAUAAACCACAAUAACCAGAGUGCUGAUGCCACUGGAAGCCAGAGAUUCUACCAAGACCAAGAAUACUGAAAGAGCCAGUUCAUUUAGAGUGAGGAAAAGGUAGGGUUUGGAUAUCUGAAACCCCAUUGCCAACCUUCUCUGCAGCUCCAUAGUCAUCAUUCUGCACACACUGAUAUUAACAGUAACACAGCCUUUUCCUCAGUUUCUUCUCUUGGGUUUCUCACACAGUAGAGCUGUAGAGGUAGACUUCUCUGAGGAAAUGCAUAUUUUGUUACUGAGGUUGGUGGUUGGGAGAAGGGAGAGGUCUUUGAUAUACUGAGGGUUAGAUGGAGAGUUAGAAGAGCUACACGCAUCAUGUGCUCUGGCCAUGCUCCUUACAUAUAAUAUGGGUUUCUGACUUACAACUGUUUCCACCAGUGAAUUUUUUUAUUUUUUUAUUUGUUUUAAUAUUGUUUAAUUAAAGUAAAAAGUCAAUCCUCAGAAAUUAAUUAUAAUAAAAACAUUUGUUUUUAGUAUUUGCAUAAGAGGGAAAAUCGCUUGAUAUUUAGAUUAAAAAAAAUGAUAUUAUUUAUGGUAAUGUGUUAUAUAUUCAAAAAUCACUUCCAAACCAAAUAUAAUCUUAUCAUAUUUGUUUAAUGAGGAAGUGUUUUCUUUCUG